rnacentral:rRNA from 1 species
AGAGUUUGAUCCUGGCUCAGAUUGAACGCUGGCGCAUGCUUAACACAUGCAAGUCGAACGCGAAAGUCCUUCGGGGCGAGUAGAGUGGCGGACGGGUGAGUAACGCGUGGGAAUCUACCCUAGAGCGGGGGACAACCCGGGGAAACCCGGGCUAAUACCGCAUACGUCCUACGGGAGAAAGAGGGCCUCUGCUUGCAAGCUCUCACUCCAGGAUGAGCCCACGUCCGAUUAGCUAGUUGGUAGGGUAAAGGCCUACCAAGGCCACGAUCGGUAGCUGGUCUGAGAGGAUGAUCAGCCACACUGGGACUGAGACACGGCCCAGACUCCUACGGGAGGCAGCAGUGGGGAAUAUUGGACAAUGGGCGCAAGCCUGAUCCAGCAAUGCCGCGUGUGUGAAGAAGGCCUGCGGGUUGUAAAGCACUUUCAGUGGGGAAGAACAGGUUCGGGUCAAUACCCCGGAGCCCUGACGUUACCCACAGAAGAAGCACCGGCUAACUCCGUG